rnacentral:tRNA from 1 species
AAAAAGGUAAGCUAAAUUUAAGCUUUUGGGUUCAUACCUCAAACAUAAAGUAUACACUUUCCUUUUUA